rnacentral:rRNA from 1 species
AUGACACCAGAUGAUAACGCCCUUAUCACUUUAAAGAAAGGCAGCAAGCUUAUCAAGUAUAGUCGGAAGGGAAAACCCAAGAUUCGUGAGUUCAGACUUUCUGGUGACGAAACAGCUUUAGUUUGGUACUCGCACAGCAAGGAAAAGUGCCUCAGACUGUCUUCCGUGUCUAAAAUCAUACCUGGACAGAGAACUGCUGUUUUUAGGAGGUUUCUACGCCCUGAGAAGGAUUACCUAUCAUUUUCACUAAUAUACAAGAACGGCCAACGUUCCCUUGAUCUGGUUUGCAAGGAUCAAGCAGAAGUUGAAGUGUGGUUUUCAACACUUGAGACACUGAUUACUGCAUACCGUGUAAAUUUUCCAACAGAUAGUGAUAGAAUAUCAUUUUCUGAUGAAGUGUCCCAAUAUCAAGAUGCGUAUGAUACAAGAUUAGAUAUUGCCUCAAGUAUUAACCGCACUUAUUACUCAGCUGGUUAUGGCGCAGCCUAUUCAUUGAAUUCUUCAAGAGCAGAUGUUAGAUCAGAUCGUGCAAAUAUGCUAAGAGUAAGUACGGGAGACAGUAGUCGGAUUAGUAUUUCCAGCAGCAUCCCUAGUUCUUCCAGUCAAGCUUCUGGACCAGAUGAUAUAGAAUCCCUUGGUGAUGUUUAUGUAUGGGGUGAGGUGUGGACUGAUGUGCUCCCCCCAGAAGGAUCCUCAAACUUUUUGUGCUCCAAAACAGAUGUUUUGAUUCCCAAACCUCUUGAGUCGGAUGUUGUUUUGGACGUACAGCAGAUAUCAUGUGGUUCGAGGCACAUUGCUCUUACUACCAGACAAGGAGAAGUAUUCACUUGGGGUGAAGAACUUGGUGGGCGGCUUGGUCAUGGAACUGAUGAAGAUAUUAGUCGCCCCAAACUUGUUGAAUCUUUAGCAGUGUCCAACGUGGAGUAUAUUGCAUGCGGGGAGUUUCAUACUUGUGCUGUAACUGCCUCUGGUGAUUUGUACAAUUGGGGUGAUGGUUCUUACAAUGCCGGAUUGCUAGGAGAUGGCAUUGGGGCUAGCCAUUGGCUUCCAAAGCGAGUGUCAGGACCUUUAGAAGGGCUUCAAGUGUUGUCUGUUGCAUGUGGCUCAUGGCAUUCAGCACUUGCCAUGUCAAGUGGAAAAGUAUUCACUUUUGGUGAUGGGACAUUUGGUGCUCUUGGGCAUGGAAAUCGUGAUAGUGUUGCCUACCCAAAGGAAGUUGAAUCUUUGAGUGGAUUCAGAACAAUGAAAGUUGCAUGUGGUAUUUGGCAUUCCGCAGCAAUUGUGGAGACCAAUAGUCAGACAGGCGUGAAUUUGGUAUCCAGGAAGCUAUUUACCUGGGGUGAUGGAGAUAAAAACCGCUUAGGUCAUGGAGACAAGGAGGCUCGGCUGGUUCCCACCGUUGUUCAAGCCCUUGUUGAUAAUAAUUUCCAUCAGGUAGCCUGUGGACAUAGUAUGACUGUUGCACUCGCCACAUCUGGUCAUGUCUUCACAAUGGGUAGCUCUAGUAAUGGUCAACUUGGGAAUCCAAAAGCCGAUGGUAAACUACCUUGCCAAGUACAAGACAAGUUGAACAGUGAGUUGGUUGAAGAGAUCUCAUGUGGCUCUAACCAUGUUGCAGUCUUGACUUCACGGAGUGAAGUAUAUACUUGGGGUAUGGGGGCCAAUGGAAGGCUGGGACAUGGUGGCAUUGAAGAUAAGAAGAAACCAACUAUUGUGGACGCAUUAAAAGACCGCCACGUUAAAAGUAUAGCAUGUGGUUCAAACUUUACGACAUGCAUUUGCAUACAUAAGUGGGUUUCAGGUGCAGAUCAGUCUGUCUGCUCAGGGUGUAGGCAACCCUUUGGUUUCACAAGAAAGAGGCACAAUUGUUACAAUUGCGGGCUUGUUCAUUGCCAUGCAUGUAGUUCAAGGAAGGUCCUGAAGGCUGCGUUGGCACCAACUCCUGGCAAGCCACAUCGUGUAUGUGAUUCAUGUUUCAUGAAACUGAAAGCUGCAGAUAGCGGCGGCACCAGUAGUCCGUUUAAUAACAAAAAGAGUGUCAUGACUCGUCGUUCUGUUGAUAUCAAAGAUAAGUCAGAGAGGCCAGACAUAAGGCCUUCAAGGCUAGCAACAGCAGCAACAGCAGAGCCAGUCAAGUAUGCAGAUGCAAAAUCAGUUAGAAGUGACAUAAAACCUGACCCUGUGUCCAAUGCGAGGGCACCCCAAGGUCCUGCUACAGCUUUGGCAGUCCCAACUACUUUUGUAAAGCCUAUGGGAAUGGGAGGAAUGGGCGGAAUGGGGGGGAUGGGCGGAAUGGGGGGAAUGGGCGCAAUGGGUGGAAUGGCUAUGGGAAUGGGAAUGGGAGUAAACAUGGCGCCAAUGGGAAUGGGCAUGCCUGUGGUGUCACAAUCUCAUAAGAAGCCAAGUCCAGCUCCAACAAUGUCAAGUGCUCUGUCUGUUAAAAGUGACACCAAAGAUAUCGAUAACCUGAAGAAGACUAAUGAGACGCUGAAUCAAGACAUCUCAAAGUUGCAAACUCAGGUUAAUAAGCUAAAACAGAAAUGUGAAGUCCAAGAUGAGCAACUACAGAAAUCAGAAAGAAGAGCUAAAAGCGCUGCCUCUCUAGCUGCAGAAGAAUCUAGCAGACGCAAUUCCAUGUUGGACUUUAUUAGGUUUCUUGACACAGAGCUCAAGGGGCUUGUAGAUAAGGUGCCUGCUGAAUUCUCUGACAGUAUAAAAGACUUGCAAAGCCAAUCGGAGAAAUAUCUCACCGGGCAGUGUAGUCAUUCACCGGAGGCCAUUUCUGGGCAUGAACAGUCUCGCCUUCCCAUCGGCGGGAUGCAUGAAAUAACACACCACGGCAGGUCCACUAGCAUGGGUAACUUGGAUGGCAGUUCCUUGACAAGCGAAUCUCCAUGCCAUCGAUUCAUGGACAGCAACGGGAGGGCUCCAGGCGACUUUGCACCAAAGUAUGGCACCCAUGGUGAGGUGCAGCUGAUCGAGCAGUUUGAGCCAGGAGUUUAUGUCACACUUAUCCAGCUGAGAGACGGCACCAAAGUAUUCAAGCGUGUCCGGUUCAGCAAGAGGAGAUUCGCCGAGCAGCAGGCUGAGGAGUGGUGGAGGGAGAACCAGGAGAGGGUGUUCAGGAAAUACAACCACGCACCUACCUAG